rnacentral:rRNA from 1 species
GCAGUCAAGAAUAUUAGUCAAUGCUCGAAAGAGUGAACUAGCUAACUGAAAUCAAUUAAAAAAUUGAUAACAUAAGGGAAAAUAAUGAUAUUACCUUAUUAUUAGUGUCGUCCAAAACUGGUGCCAGAAGACUCGGUAAGGCCAGAGACAUAAACGUUAAUCGUCUUAAUCAGGCGUAAAGGGUUUGUAGGCGGCUUUUAAAUUUACUUAUUUAAUUUUAUUUUAUUUUUUUUAAUUAAAAUUUAUAAGUACAGAAUAAAAGCUAGAAUCAAAUAGAGGAUAUAUCAAAUAAUGCUUAGAGUAGGUCUGAUAUCCUUAGAUACUAAGUAGAAUAUUAAAGGCGAAGGCUUUUUUCCAUUAAUGAUUGACGCUCAGAAACGAAGGUGAGGAUAGGAAAUAGGAUUAGAUACCCAAAAUACCCCUCUCUGUCAACGAUGAAUGGUAGUUAUUAGUAAUAAAUUAAUUAAUGACAAUGUUAACACGAUAACCAUUCCGCCUUGUGAGUACAACUGCAAAGUUGAAAACAAAAAAA